GCCACCUCCACUGUAGAGGACAAGGGACGUGUGCCUCUCAGCAGCUCCAGGGCAGAAGUCCUAAGGCUCAGGAAAACCUGCCCUUGCAGCUCCAUUGGGCUAAGCUGUCUGACUGCGUAUUUAAAACAGAUGUGGGAUGUUUGUGAGCUCUGUCUUACCAGUUCAAGUGUCAGGUGAUUGCUAUAAAAGGACUGUGAAACCUCACACGGAGGCUCAGUAGUGCUCCUUACUAUUGUAAGCACUGAUAGAGUAGCACCCUGUGAACUGCAGUGUUUUCUAGUGCAGCACUUUGCAGAGAAACAAGAUGAAAAGGGAGAAGCAAAGAAGAAAUGGUGAACAGAGGCUAAGAAAGUAAGUUGCCUAAGGUGGGAAAUGUGUUCAGCAACCUAUGGGUCUCUUGUGUGCUGAUCCACCUGAACACAGGAAUUUUGACCUUCUUAAAGCAUGUACAGGUAACAAAAGCUCUUCAGAACCUAGUAACUGAAAGAAUAAAGCUGAGUUGCAGGGUGAGCAGGGAGUGCAGCUGCCCUGACAGUAUGUGGAGGCUCUCCCUUAAACUCUCUUCUCCCUGUCUACCUGGAAAGCUGUUUGAGGAGCCCUGUGCUCAGUGUUGUGGCAGGGAGCUGGGUAAAGGUCUUGCCCUUCUCACCAGGCAUCUGUGACCUGGCAGCCAACCGUGGGAGUUUACACCUCAAGGUUGAUGUUACUUGAUCUUGCUGAUAAUUUCAGGAAAUGUGGUAACAACUACAAAAUGAUACAAUAGCCUUUAGUGAAUUCUAACCUGUACUAAACGAUUCUGUAAAACAUGAUUCUGGUAUCAUCACUUUGUGACAUGAUUUUUUGGAACAAAUUAAAAAUAUUUUAUUAACAUGUUGGUGUUCCAUGACAAAUUUACAAGUUCAAUCUAGAAUCAGGUAACUUUUUCAUAAUAUGGUUUGCACACUAUUUAAGUGUAUAAUUUGGUAAUUUCAAACUAUUCUUUGGCUAAACAAGAGGGGAUCUAAUCUUUCUAAUUUGAAAGAGUUUUAUAUUUAUUUAGUUAACUUCUUUUUAUACCCUUUAUGAAUAACUGCUCUGUACCUAGCUAAUAUUUGCUUGUUCUGCAAAAUGCAGGACUUGGGUUGAUUGAAGCAUUACCUUUCACAUGUGGAUGAAGAUCUCAUAUAGCUCAAACGUGCUGUGGUGUCUUCUUCAGCUAAGGAGCACACUUCUGCAUCCCUAGUCUACUGCCAAUGGGUUGACAAGCAGAUGUAGGUCCUUGUAUAAAUGUUAUGUUUUAUAAGCUAUUAGAAUACUGUGAACAAACCUGUCAUGGUGAAUGAUGAUUCUUUUUUUCCUGUUAAUUAGCUCCUCUUGUACCAGAAGCUGUUUUACUGAAAUAUAUGGGAAUGUGCUAAGUUUGCACCCUUGAUUUAUUGCUUUAGUCUCAUAAUCUAUUUUUUUAAAAAUGCACUAUUCAAAUUUGCCUUCUAGUGCUAGAUGAGAGAUCAUUAACCUGCUCUCCUCAGAGCAAGGAUACCAGUGAUGAAAGCUAUACCUCUAGAUAGCAUGAAGGAAAACCUCUCAGAACGCGAAUAUAGCAUUACUACAUUACUACAGCAUGACUGCAGGAUUCAAUACAGAAAACAGUAAGAUGA